UACAGAGGGGGCAAGCGUUGUUCGGAAUUACUGGGCGUAAAGGCGCGUAGGCGGCCAACUAAGUCAGACGUGAAAUCCCCAGGCUCAACCUGGGAACUGCGUCUGAUACUGGAUGGCUCGAGUUCGGGAGAGGGAAGUGGAAUUCCAGGUGUAGCGGUGAAAUGCGUAGAUAUCUGGAGGAACACCGGUGGCGAAGGCGGCUUCCUGGACCGACACUGACGCUGAGACGCGAAAGCGUGGGGAGCAAACAGG
rnacentral:rRNA from 1 species